GAUUAUGGCUCAGGAUGAACGCUAGCUACAGGCUUAACACAUGCAAGUCGAGGGGCAGCAUGAGCUUAGCUUGCUAAGCUUGAUGGCGACCGGCGCACGGGUGAGUAACGCGUAUCCAACCUCCCCUUAGUAGGGCAUAGCCCGGUGAAAAUCGGAUUAAUACCCUAUGUUCUUCACAGCGGGCAUCUAACGUGAAGCAAAGGUUCACCGCUAAGGGAUGGGGAUGCGUCUGAUUAGGUAGUCGGCGGGGUAACGGCCCACCGAGCCAUCGAUCAGUAGGGGUUCUGAGAGGAAGGUCCCCCACAUUGGAACUGAGACACGGUCCAAACUCCUACGGGAGGCAGCAGUGAGGAAUAUUGGUCAAUGGUCGAGAGACUGAACCAGCCAAGUAGCGUGCAGGAAUGACGGCCCUAUGGGUUGUAAACUGCUUUUAUGCGGGGAUAAAGUCACCCACGUGUGGGUGUUUGCAGGUACCGCAUGAAUAAGGACCGGCUAAUUCCGUGCCAGCAGCAGC
rnacentral:rRNA from 1 species